UGGUGGAGUGAUUUGUCUGGUUUAUUCUGAUAACGAACGAGACUCUAGUCAGCUAAUUAGCUGAUCCAGACAUGUGUUGGAUGCUACUUCUUAGAGAUAUAAGCAGUGUUUAGCUGCAUGAAAAGGAGCAAUAACA
rnacentral:rRNA from 1 species